CAUUGAGGAGGGAAAUAUCGAAAAAUUGGACCAGGAGGCUCACUCAGUUCGCACUCUACGAACUAAGGAGUAUGUUCAAAAGCACACAGUGGAACAACCUCAGCAGCAGUUUCCUGAUAUUUCCAUUCUACAGUCAUCCUUAAAGCUGUAGUCUACUGUCAGAAUUUAAUUGUUGUUCCCCCACACCCCACAUUUAUAUAUUUGAUAUAUUUUCAUAGAACCUUGUAUAUUUCUUUAUUGUUAUACUCGGAUGAUUAAUGAAGCAAUGAUACGGUUCAUUUAUCUUGCAUUUACUAAGUUGAGAUUGAGUUGUGACAUUUUCCCUUGACUAUGCACAAAAGCUAGACAUGGGCUGGUCAGUCCAGGUCAUGAAGUACGACCAGACUUCCCUGUUCUAAUCUCCCUUUCCCUGUUUACACAAUACAACUGUCUAAGCAUUAUUAUUUAUGUAUCCGUAUCCAGACGUUCCUGUGAAGGGACCAAUCAUGUGAUUGUUCUCCAGACAUGUUUGCUCAAUAACUGCCCACAUGAUUCUUCUAGACAUUAUCAAAUGUUUAUCAGGUGACCAGUGCUUCCUUUCUGUACACUAUAUAAGCUGAAGCCUGUCUAAUAAACUUUGGUCUAUGUUUGAACUGCAUCUCGGUGUCAGUGUCUUUCAUGGCCCCUGAUAUAUAUCAGAACUCUCUGCUGCUCACCUCAGACCUCGUCUCUUUACUACAGAUUCAACGAAAACUUCAUACCUCUAGACCUGCUUAGAAUUAGAUUCUAACAGUUGGGGGCUCGUCCGGCGACAGGGGGGUGAGCCUCCUCCCGACAGAACCGGAGACCGAAAUUUGAACACCGCAGAUCGGGGAGGACCUACAGAAAGGGGUAAGUGUCGUGAUAUUUCUAAUAAAUUUGAAAUACAGCGCUUACCCCUGUAGAGUCCCAGUAGGACCCAUAUCUUGUGCUCGAGACAAGAUCGGUCAUUUUCACUCGGCCCACGUGGGGCAGGUGGCCCAAAAAUCGCCACCGUUGGCUAAUUGAUUUACGAAUUAAUUGCUAGUAACGAAGUGAUAGUCGCUCACGAGUAAAAGAAAUAAAUAAAUUGACAACGAGUGAUUUCUUGUCAAUUAAAUUUCACGGGUGCGGUAAUCGAGAUUACCAGCACAUGCAGCAUUGACUGCGUACGGAGCGAGGUCAAGUAUACAGUUAGAGCUCGCUGUAUAUUUGAGAUCGCGGUGUUAUUGUUAUUCGUUAUUGUUGAGUAAUCAUCAACGAAACGUUGAAUUGAAUAUAAAACGAGCAUUGCCCACUAUCAAAGAAAUUUAUUAAAACUAUAUGAAUAACAUUUAUGACAUUUUAUGAAAACUGGAUUUUUGCAAAUUUCAAAUAAUUUGCCAAACUAAUAUAUAACUUCUAAAGAACGAAACGAUACGUAAAUGUAUUGAGGCUGAGUAGAGGAGCACAGAAAACCCGGGUGUUUGUCAAUUGCUUAUUUGUGCUUAUUGCUGUUUGCUUGUUAUUGCUGCUAUUAUUUGUUUACAUUGUGUUGAAGAUGGGUGAUUCUGCCACGGCCAGGCAAAAGCCUGAUGAAUUUAUGUAUACAAAUAAUAAAGGUUUUUAUGUUGAACUGUACGUCACUUAGCGGUUAGUAAUAUAAUAACUUUGCAUUGAAAACCCCCAACGCAAGAUGCGCUGCCAUAUUUUAUGUCGAAUAGUACCAGCCGAAGUUUAUCGUCCCCACAAAUUGCUGUAAAAUACGUGAAUGUUUUGCAAUCUCACAAGAGGUAUGCACACGUCACAGGGGCAGAUUUGUGCUAUUUUGUUGAAAAUUGGAGAGCGAUGUAAAAAAAAAAAAAAAAAAAAAACAUAACUGAUACGUGCCGCUGUCUGAUUCGGGAAAACCAUGUGACUGGAGGUGAGGGGACUGCAGCCUCUCGCAAUCCACUCACACGGGAAGAUCAUGAAUAUCAUGAUAUGCUUUUUUGAUCAGCUGCGCGUUUUUCUAGAUAAACGGUUUGGCAUUUGCCAGUAUUUAUCAUUUGCAUUAAACGGAAAGAUAAAGCCAAAUGAAACUGCUUCUGAAUUUUGCACAGGUUUUAAAGUAUUAUGAGUUUAUUCUAGAUUACCGAUUGACAAAGUCUGAGUGCGCUGUUACAAAUAUGCUGUUGAACAAUAUGAAUCGUAGGUACCCGUAAGUGAAAUCUGUUGAAUAUGAAUGUGAAUAGACUGAUUUGUGAGUCUGAUGCAUCUGGUGAACAUGCUAUGUUUUCAGUGCAAGUUUCAUCGAACGGGAAAAAGCUUGCUUAAGCACCGGAAAGGAAACUGAGAUUUGAUAUAAUGUGUUAUUAUGUGGACAAAGGGGCCACAUGAAAUGUGACUGCCGUUCAAAAGGGGGUGCAAUUUUAUUCCAAGGGCGCCACCACGUAGACAGUCAAUGCAACAGCCAAAGCAAGUGCAUCAGAAACUAUCUGACAGUAAUUACCAGACAAACUGGCAUAACAAAACACAAUGAAAUGUUCUGACCCAUUACACCACCUCUGGAGACAUACAGUGAUCCUCUGCCUAUGGGGGGAGGAAGUGAGAAGGCCGACCAAGACCCAGUAGCCGCCCGCAUACCACAUGAUGUAGACACCUUGAUUAACCCAUGCCUAUGAACUCAGUCAAACAAUGAUACAGGUUUCAUUGAUAUGAAACCAUACAAAGUUAAACUUAAACCUGUGUACAUCAAACAAUAUCCUUUGUCAAAAGAAAAGGAAGAUGGCAUUAAACCUAUUAUUCACCAUUUUGUUUAACAGGGUGUCCUCAUACCUACUCGCCAUAAAACACACCGAUUAACCCGGUGGUGAAUGCUGAUGGAAAGACAUAAUGUCUUACACAAGAUUUAAGAGCACUCAAUAAACUGAUAAUUCCUCUGUCUCUGAUUGUUCCAGAUGUGCCGACUGUUAUAAAUGUUAUAUCAUGCACACAUAAGUAUUUCUGUCAUUGAUUUGUGUGCUGCUUUUGUUUCUCUGUUCCAGUGCAUCCAGACACACAGCCACUGCUAGCCUUAUAGGAUAGGGGGCGCAAGAACUAAGAAGGGUAUGUUGACUCACCAUCCGUCCUCUCCGCUGCAGUGGAAAAAAGACAUUGAAAAAAAAAAAAAAAAGAUCAACUUCCUAUUUUCGGGUUUGCUGUCUGCUGUAUGCCGAUGACAUCAUGGUCUCUGCCCUGACUGAAAAGAACUGUGAGAAAGCCUCCAUUAUCGUCUGCAAUAUUUUGGUGGACGCUGGUUUCAAAGCAUCAAAAGAAAAGCUCCAGUGGGUCAAGCAAAAGUUCUCGUACCUUGGUCACGUCUUAAUGCCAGGUCUUUGAAAAAACCUCCACAGAUCAGGUUGAACUGAUCCGGAAGAUGAAAUUCCCACAAACUGUGUAACAGCUCCAAAGUUUUCUGGGGUUAAUAAACUGUUGCCGCUCAUGGAAACCUGAGUGUGCUGCCCAUGACGGACAUUUGCGGAGCACGAUUGAUCACAAGGCAUCGCCUGCAUCACUGAUAUGCUGGACUGAUGAAGCAGAGACUCAUUUCAUGGCACUGAAACACGCCAUUACUACGGCCCCAACUCUGGGCCAUCCGAACUAUGCAAGGACUUUUCACCUGCAUGCGUGAGAGGCGAAGGGUGUGGCUCUGGGUAUCCUUUGGCAACAACAAGGUUGCACUUAUAGGCCAGUGGCAUAUCUGUCUAGAAAACUAGAUAAUGUAGUAACAGGUAUGCCUAAAAUGUCUUUAUGCAGUGGCUGCUGAUGUUCUGUUUGUACAGGUGGCUGAGAGAACGGUGCUGUCACAGUCAAUGACUCUACACAUCACAUCAAGUUGGUGCAUUUUUACACAACACAGGACGGCACAGAGGCGAUAUGGGUAUGAGGCUACGCUGUUGGCAACCAAAAAUGUAACGAUCCAGCCCACUUCUACCAUUAAUUCCACAGUUUUGGGACUGGUAGACAUGACUGAGCACGAUCUAAAACAUGAUUGCAUUGUUGGAUUGACUACUUCCUGUUCCUCUAGGGCCGAUUUAAUGGAAUCGCCCCUAGAUGGGGGGGUCAGAUCUAUGUGGAUGGCUCAUAUACAAAGCCAUCGGACGGUGUCUACCUGUGUGGUUAUGCUGUGGUGUCAGAUACUGGUGAGGUUAUUGAACCCUUUGCUCUAAAUUACAACUCAGCAUAAGCUGCAGAAUUGGUAACUCUAAUACGAGUUUGUGAGCUAAUGAAAGAAAGAAAAAAGCCACAAUCUACGCGACUCUAAAUAUCUGUACCACAAAUUUUAAAAACAUGGGAAGCCCGAGAUUUCAAGACAACAGAUGGUAAGCUUAUAGCUCAUUCAUAUUUGGUAGGACGGUUGACAAAAGCAGUACAGCUACCGUCUGAAAUGGCAAUAGUGAAAGUAAAAGAUCAUGGAUCAGGAAAUGAUGACUAGGCUGUGGGAAACAAGAAGAGCAGAUGAGGCUGCCAAGGAAGCAGCUCAAGCUCACAUUAAAUGACUAUUUGAGUAUGAUGUCAAAACAGACCUUGCUAUGGCUGUGCAAGUGAUUAACAUGAUCAGAUUGACUUCAUUCGCAUACUGCCGAUUGGAAAUUAUGAAAUAUCUUUUUUAUCACAAAGAGGAUGCGCAAACUGUAGUUAAAAUUUUGACAAUUGAAAAUUAUUCCUCGUUUUAGCAUACCGAAAACAAUUGAAUCCGACGACGAGACACCUUUUGUGUCUAAAGUAACUAGCUCUUUGCUAAAGCGCUGUCUAUUGAUUGGCAUUUUAAUAUUAAACGUGAAAAUUAAACAUAGGAUAACCAAAGCUGCGUUAGAAACGGAAAGAAAUGGGUAGAUUUGCUACCUGCUUUAUUAUACGAAAUAAGAAUGACUCCAUCUUCAACCAAACAAUUGUCUUCAUUUGAAAUACUAAUGGGUAGGCCAUUCCCCACCCUGUGGGUCAAAGGCCGCGCAGGCAUUUCUUCCCCAGGUGACUGGAGGUGAUACAAGAAGACUAUGUGGUGUCCAUAAUUGAGAAAUUGAACUCUAUCUGUGCUAAUUUUCUUUGUCUCUCCCCUCAGAAAAACCAACUUACAUUUUUGCUCCAGGACAGGUUGUUCUAAAUAGGAGCCUGAAGCCCACGAGGGUAUGAGAGCCAAAAUACCUCGGCCCAGACAAGGUGAUGGCUGUGACAAAGAUGGGAGUUCUGAUUGACAACCAGCUACAGUGGAUUCACGCCUCAGGGUUGAAGCACCACUCUGCCACGGAUCAGGACACCAGAGACGAACCCAAACAACGACUACUAGUAAUGGAAAACAACGGAGAACAACGAGUGAGAUAUCUUGAUGGAAGCUCCACUGCCGAGAGGAUUCGAACCAUGUAUUGUGACCAAAGCUUUCAUCAUCUUCAGCGAGCACAUUGUGGAAGCAGAGCAAAGAAUAUUGGAAGACAACGAACACAUCACACAACUGGCCCUGCAAAAGCGAUCAUAGAUCAUAUGCUGUGGUAUAUGUUUAUUUUGAAUGAUAGUGAUCUGAAAGUCUAUAGAAAAAAAAUAAUAAUAAAGGUAUUGGUUUCUUGAAAAUAAGGGUUAUUUAGGAAAUUGCUAUUUAAUAAACUAAUUGUAACUAUUUGAUUUCUGCAAUUAGGAAAAGUAUUUUCUUAAAGUAUAUGAAACCAGUGCUUUCCAGAUGUGGACCCAUAACCCUGUUAUAUGUCAUAAAUAAUGUAUCUGGAGUAAAUGGAUUAGUGAUAACUCGAUGUAUAGAAGGUGGACCCAAACGACCUGUGAUGCAAAAUUUUAUUUUCAAACACAAGGGAUUUUUUCUUUUUGAUAUGGGUGUGUGGGAUCAGAUGUGAUCCACUGACGUGUCUCAAAGGGGCCAUUGUCAGAAUUUAAUUGUUGUUCCCCCACACCCCACAUUUAUAUAUUUGAUAUAUUUUCAUAGAACCUUGUAUAUUUCUUUAUUGUUAUACUCGGAUGAUUAAUGAAGCAAUGAUACGGUUCAUUUAUCUUGCAUUUACUAAGUUGAGAUUGAGUUGUGACAUUUUCCCUUGACUAUGCACAAAAGCUAGACAUGGGCUGGUCAGUCCAGGUCAUGAAGUACGACCAGACUUCCCUGUUCUAAUCUCCCUUUCCCUGUUUACACAAUACAACUGUCUAAGCAUUAUUAUUUAUGUAUCCGUAUCCAGACGUUCCUGUGAAGGGACCAAUCAUGUGAUUGUUCUCCAGACAUGUUUGCUCAAUAACUGCCCACAUGAUUCUUCUAGACAUUAUCAAAUGUUUAUCAGGUGACCAGUGCUUCCUUUCUGUACACUAUAUAAGCUGAAGCCUGUCUAAUAAACUUUGGUCUAUGUUUGAACUGCA